UUUUAUCCUACAAGUGGAUGAUUUUUUUUAUCAUUAAUGCUAAGGAAAUAGCAGAUGAUGAGAGUUUAUUUUGCGAUGACAAGAAGCUCGUGUAUUUGCGAGCGGUGUUUAUCUUAUAGUAUAGUACUUCCAUGACUCUGAUGCUUUUUUUUAGUACUUAAGUUUUAUAUCUUAUAAAACUCUGGUUUUUUUUUGUUGGUAUUAUUUUGCAUUUUUUUAUAUAUUACAGGUGGAUGAUUUUUUUAUUUUAAGCAAGUAGCAAGUGAUGAGAGUUAUUUUGUGAUAAGGAGAAGCUCGUGUAUUUGCGAGCGAUGUUUAUCCUAAUACUUCCAUGACUCUGAU
rnacentral:lncRNA from 1 species